ACUUAAGAGUGAUAGUUGGGAUUUCUGGUUUUUGAGGCUUUUGAGAAAGAUAGGACAAAGUAGAAAAAAGGCAAGACUGAAAUAUACGUAUAACAAUGCACGAGAGGAUCUCUAGGUUUCCCUAAACGAGCCCAUCUGUUAAAAGAAGAAAUUUUCUUUUUAAGUUUUUUUUUUUUUCUAGUGCAACAAUAGAAAGGUAAAGGAAUGUUUCUUUUCUGGGGAUGGUGGAGAUCCACCUCCUCAAAUUUUGUCAUCUUACCACAACUUUUUACUACUUUUCUUUGCUAGGAUAUUCCCAUGCGUACGUAUUAUAUAUAUUCUAUACUUAAACAUGAUUUCAUUCACA
rnacentral:lncRNA from 1 species